rnacentral:tRNA from 1 species
GCUUCCGUGGCUCAGUUGGUAGAGCAAUUGAUUCGUAAUCAAUAGGUCGUCGGUUCGAGUCCGAUCGGGAGCU